CGUUGAUUGUGGAAGAACUGUGAAAACGGUGGACAAUUGAGGAAAGAAGUAUGAAAGGGUGUGGCAGGAUGGGAGAGGAAGUGGUCACGAUGUCGAUGCAGGUGAUGCUGGCGGAGGUACCUCAGGUAUGGCUAACAUACAUCUUCCAUUGUCGUGGUUGUUCGAGAUAGUGGCCUUUUACUUCUUUCCUGGUUCUGCGGGGCACAAGGAUGGAAUGUAUCGUAAUGCUGAUUCUUCUUGUGACGUAUACAUCUCAGUGGAAAAUAUCUUUACGAUCCUGUAAUGAAAGCAAUCAGAGUUUAAUGAUUUCUCGAUGUAAUUUCGAUAUUAUUAGUCAAAGUUUCAGAAGAGAUCCCUAACAAUGUAACCAUAACCAUUUGUUGUAUGUAUGAAUUGUAAUCCAUUAGUUAUAAACAAUUUUCCAUUUCAUGUUUCAAUAUGA